ACACAGGGAGGUGAACAUCACACACCGGGGCCUGUCGGGGAUGGGGGCAAGCAAAAGUCCCAGAGAGAGAGUUAGCCUGUGUGCCCACUUCAGGAGUCCCAGCAUGUCCAGCUGGAGUCCCCAUGGGGUCUAGCUGCAUGUCGUCUUGGGAGAGGGAACCCCAGCACUGGGAGGACCAUGAAAAGACACUGGCUGAUUGCUGUUGGAAUAGAAGAGCCAUUAAAGAAAAUGAACUGAGAA